GAUGAAGAACGUAGCGAAAUGCGAUAAGUAAUGUGAAUUGCAGAAUUCAGUGAAUCAUCGAAUCUUUGAACGCACCUUGCACCCUUUGGCAUUCCGAAGGGUAUGCUCGUUUGAGUGUCAUUGUACUCUCACUCUCCCGAUGCUUUUGGAUCGGGAGUGGUGGACGUGGGUGUUGCUGCUUUGCUGUGGCUCGCCUCAAAUGGAGUAGUGCAACUCUUGGUUGGACAUAGUACGGCGUGAUAAGUGUCUUCGCCGGCGCCUCAUUAUAGAGGGUGGCCGAUCGGGAGCUCUGUGCUUCAAACCGUCUUCGGACAACAUCUGACAACUUGACCUCAAAUCGAGUAGGACUACCCGCUGAACUUAAGCAUAUCAAUAAGCGGAGGA
rnacentral:misc_RNA from 1 species